rnacentral:rRNA from 1 species
GAUGAACGCUAGCGAUAGGCUUAACACAUGCAAGUCGAGGGGCAGCAUGGUCUUAGCUUGCUAAGACUGAUGGCGACCGGCGCACGGGUGCGUAACGCGUAUGCAACUUGCCUCACAGAGGGGGAUAACCCGUCGAAAGACGGACUAAUACCGCGUACACUCCAUCUUGGGCAUCCAAGGUAGAGGAAAUGAAAUUCGCUGUGAGAUAGGCAUGCGUCCCAUUAGCUAGUUGGUGAGGUAACGGCUCACCAAGGCGACGAUGGGUAGGGGAACUGAGAGGUUGAACCCCCACACUGGUACUGAGACACGGACCAGACUCCUACGGGAGGCAGCAGUGAGGAAUAGUGGUCAAUGGGCGAGAGCCUGAACCAGCCAAGUCGCGUGAAGGAUGACUGUCUUAUGGAUUGUAAACUUCUUUUAUACGGGAAUAACAAGAGUCACGGGUGACUCCCUGCAUGUACCGUAUGAAUAAGCAUCGGCUAACUCCGUG